GUCAAGUUGGCCGAGCGGUCUAAGGCGCCAGAUUUAAGCUCUGGUACACGUACGUGUGCGUGGGUUCGAACCCCACACUUGACA
rnacentral:tRNA from 1 species